ACUGACUGGUCUGUAGUUUCCUGGGUUGUUUUUAUUUCCCUUUUUAUAGAUGGGCACUAUAUUUGCCCUUUUAAAAUCCUCCAAAGGCUCCAAUUCACCAAACUGUUCAUGAAACUCAGCUUCAGUCAUAGCUGCUCCUGCAUUGUCAAUAUAGAUGCCGGCAGUAUGGUCCUGAGACUCAUCAUCCUCCAUUGUGUGGUCAGCAAAUAUGGCAUUGUCCUCUGAGCCAUCAAGUGCACUGCUGAUACAGCAUGUCCAAAAUGACUUUUCUAUAAUUUCCAAGGGAAUGAACUCCCAUGUAUGCUUGAUCCACUGAACAACCAGAUUGAUUUCAGGCUUCAUAAGAUUCACGCUUUUUGUCAACUUCGUCAUGCCUGAGCACAUCUAGUCAGACCACAUUUUGCGUAGCCUGUCUUAAAGGAUUUGUUCAGGCAGACAUCCUGUGGUUGUAGAACAGAAGGUAAGCCUCUAGGCAUUACAGCCAAAGUAGUUUUGUUUUGUUUGCUACCUGUUUUACCUCAUCCAUCUUGUGUGCCUUGACUAUGUCCCAGACAAGCAUAGCAGGUUUCUUGAGAUGUUCUCAUGGUUUCUCAUUCCACGCUUUUUCCAGCCAUUCACUUUCAUCCAUCCAUCCUCUUUCAUGUGAGCAUAUGACACCCCCGGGAAAUUUCAUAUUUUUAGACAGUUUUUCUUUUAAAAACAAUAACAGGAGGAAGUUUUGAUCCAUUGGCCAAACAAGCUAAAAAUCACUGGAUUUUUUUUCAUGGCCAGUGGUUUUAAUUAAAACUGUUUUUUCACCAACACCAGUUACCGUCCUGUUGUUUGGGAGAUUGAAUGUCAGUGGCGUUUCAUCCAUAUUUUCUAUUUGAGACAGCUCAAAUGCUAUUCCUUUCAAUAUUUUAUAAUAAACGUUUUGAAAGAUUUGAUUUUUUUCUUCCAAGUCACUCAGCAGCUUUUGUGCUAUUUUUGUGUGCUGAUGAAGACAGAAACCAUGACGAUUCAUGAAGCGAGUACUCCGAUUCACCGAUGUGACAAACAUUGAUGACUUUACUGACUUAAUUUUCAGAGCACACAGAUGAAAUCCAGUUCUAGUGCCGAGGUGCCCAUUUUGUUAACAUUCAAAACCUUGAUCACUGAGCUCUUUUUCCAGCCCAGGAAAUGAAGUCACAUCACUGGACAUUUUUUCUUGUUUCUUUGCGUGUCUUUGUGUUGUUUUAUUUUUUUGCCAUUCUUUUACAUGCUUCUCAUUGAUAUAGAACUCGUGAGCAGCAGCACAAUUAUUGUUUGCUUCUGUGUAUUCAACAAUUUAAGUUUGAACACUGCAUGAUGAGCAGUUUUCUUUUGAUUUCAGAAUUGCUCAUUUUAAAUACUAGUAUAAAAAUCUUAAAAAAUAAUUUAGUUAUAGAUUUUAUAGGACAUUAGAAAGGAAUGUCACCUGCUUUAUCAUUGUCAAAUUAUAAUUGUUCAUUGUUUAUUUCAAAGCAGUCCUGUAGAUUGGCAUGUCUAUGCGAUAACAGGCUAUUUAAAUUUUAUUACAGAUUUAAUGGAUUCUGUGCAUUAUAUUUUCAGACUGGCUAGAGAUGUAAGAGAUCCAGUAGUCAACGUGCAUAAAGAGAUCAAAUUAUACAAUAGCAGACCGACAUCAGAGCCAUAGCAGUAUUAUUCACUGUAUUUUUCUGAUUGACUUGUAAGGUCUAGCAUUUUGUGAAACGGAUGGGUCAAAUGUCAUGCAGGUCUACAGCACUGCUCUUUGGCAUUAAUUUAAAAGCAAUCUAUUCCACUAAAAAAAAGUUUGCAACUUUAAAUGUAUGAAGUAUUGACAUCGAAAUAUUUUACGAGCAAUGUAAGUAUGUGCUAUAAAAAUACAGAUAAUUAUAAUAUAAUCCUUUAGAAGAACAAUACUAGAAAAAACAAACUAGGACUAGGAAAAUUGAACUUUAGAGAAGCACGUUUUUAAAUCAUUUACAUGGGCAUAAUGAGAAAAAUGAUAUUAUCAAUAUCCAGACAUUUAUAUCAAUUAUAACAAAUAUAACAUUUACAUAAUUUUUAAAAAUUUUUUUGAAAUUUUUCUAAAAAAGCGAAUCCAGAAUGGACUUUCCAUCAUGGUGAUCUUCAACAGGGCUGAGCAAACUGUAACUCCCAACCCAUCAGGGAUAAGCUGGUGGUGCACUGGGUUGUGUUGUUUACCUGGAGUGUUCACAGGUAUAGUGCCCUUCAUCUCGUAGUGGCUGCAAUUUGCCAUUCCCAGUCAAUGGGAGCUGCAAGAAGUGGCGCAGGCUGAAGCAUGUGCUGGCUACCAUUUCCCACCGCUCCUGUUGGCCAGGAGCCAUGAAUCGCAGACACAGGGAGCUGCGGGGCUCCAGGUAAAUAAAACAUCCUGACAUGCCAGCAACUUGCCUUGACAAGUCACAAACUGAAGUUUGCCAACUGCUAAAAUAUAGUGUUAGUAUAGUAUAAACAAAUGGGCUAAUGAACAAAUAUAUACAGUAUUUCUUCAUAGUAAACCUGUGCUACUCUGUGCAAGAGAAGUGAAGGUCAAGACUCUAACAGGACUAAAAAACAAAACCAAGAUACAUUCACGGAGCAUAGGUCCUUUGAUGGCUAUAAGACAUGGUGGACAGAGAUCCAACAUCAUGUUCUGUUUGUCUCUCACCUCUGCUUGCCGGUGGGGAUGGGUGAUGGGAUGAAUCACCCACUGGUUGCCUGUUAUAUUCAUUUCCUAUGAACAUGGCAUUUGCUACUGUUGGCAGACAGCAUACGGGGCUAGAUGGACCUUUGUUUUCCCUCAGUAUGGCUGUUGUGAUGUUCUUACAUAGAAUCCAGAUAUAUUUGCCCCCACUAUAUCCCACUAGACCCCACUCCUCUCCUAGAGCUGAGACAGACACCAGGAGUUCUGAUGGGUCUUGCUCUCCCUCCACAGAGUUAGUAACAAGGAAUCAGAUACAAGGUUCCUGUCAACUGACUGCUACAUUAUCUGCCAAAAGCCUAGCAUUUAAGUGCCUAAGUGGCCCCUAAGAUGACAAUUAAGUUGCCUCCCCCUAAAAAAAAAAAAAA